GUAUUAGGUUGGUGUAAAAGUAAUCGCGGUUUUUGCUAUUACUUUUAAUGGGAAAAAGCACAAUUACUUUUGCACCAACCCGAUA
ensembl:miRNA